rnacentral:rRNA from 1 species
UGGUGGAGUGAUUUGUCUGCUUAAUUGCGAUAACGAACGAGACCUUAAUCUGCUAAAUAGUUACGUGAACCUUUGCGUUCGUGGACAACUUCUUAGAGGGACUUUUGCGUGUUUUAACCAGAGGAAGUUUGAGGCAAUAACA